rnacentral:rRNA from 1 species
UACAGAGGUCUCAAGCGUUGUUCGGAUUCAUUGGGCGUAAAGGGGUGCGUAGGUGGCGCCGUAAGUCAGGUGUGAAAUUUCGGAGCUUAACUCCGAAACUGCAUUUGAUACUGCGGUGCUUGAGGACUGGAGAGGAGACUGGAAUUUACGGUGUAGCAGUGAAAUGCGUAGAUAUCGUAAGGGAAGACCAGGUGGCGAAGGCGGGUCUCUGGACAGUUCCUGACGCUGAGGCACGGAAGGCCAGGGGAGCAAACGGG